rnacentral:rRNA from 1 species
GCGUGGAUCAUGUUGUUUAAUUUCGAUGAUACGCGAAGAACCUUUACCAGGUCUUGACAUCCCAUGCAAAGCUAUAGAGAUAUAGUGGAGGUUACCAUGGAGACAGGUGGUGCACGGUUGUCGUCAGCUCGUGCCGUGAGAUGUUGGUUAAGUCCCGCAACGAGCGCAACCCUUAUUGCUAGUUACCAUCAUUAAGUUGGGGACUCUAGCGAGACUGCCAGUGAUAAACUGGAGGAAGGUGGGGAUGACGUCAAAUCAUCAUGCCCCUUAUGACCUGGGCUACAAACGUGAUACAAUGGCUGAAACAAAGGGCAGCGAAGCAGUGAUGUGAAGCGAAACCCAAAAAAGCAGUCUCAGUUCGGAUUGAAGUCUGCAACUCGACUUCAUGAAGUCGGAAUCGCUAGUAAUCGCGAAUCAGAACGUCGCGGUGAAUACGUUCUCGGGGUUU